rnacentral:rRNA from 1 species
AGGGUUUGAUCCUGGCUCAGAAUGAACGUUGGCGGCGUGGAUUAGGCAUGCAAGUCGAACGGGGCCGGUCUUCGGAUCGGUCCAGUGGCGGAAGGGGGAGUAAGGCGACGGUAACCAACCCCGAGAUUGGGUAUAGCCGCGGGAAACUGCGGGUAAUCCCCAGCGACGUCGGAUGAGGGCAUCCUCGUCCGACCAAAGCUCCGGCGUCGCGGGACGGGCCGUCGUGGUAUUAGGUAGUUGGCGGGGUAAUGGCCCACCAAGCCUGCGAUGCCUACCGGGCGUGCGAGCGUGGCCCGGCACACUGGGACUGAGACACUGCCCAGACACCUACGGGUGGCUGCAGUCGAGAAUCUUCCGCAAUGGGCGAAAGCCUGAUGGAGCGACGCCGCGUGCGGGAUGAAGGUUUUCGAAUUGUAAACCGCUUUUUUCAGGGAAGAACUACGGUGACUGUACCUGAAGAAUAAGAGGUUACUAACUCUGUGCCAGCAGUAGCGGUAAUACAGAGACCUCAAGCGUUAUCCGGAUUUAUUGGGCGUAAAGCGCAGGUAGGCGGGUCAGUUAGUCGUAUGUCAAAGCCCGGGGCUCAACCCCGGAGAGGCAUUCGAAACGGCUGAUCUGGAGAAUGCAAGAGAUCGGGGGAAUUCACGGUGUAGUAGUGAAAUGCGUUGAUAUCGUGAGGAACACCCAAGGCGAAGGCAACCGAUUGGUGCAUUUCUGACGCUGAGCUGCGAAAGCGUGGGGAGCGAAUGGGAUUAGAUACCCCAGUAGUCCACGCCCUAAACGAUGCAUACUAGGUAUUGGGAGAAUCGACCCUCCCAGUGUCGUAGCUAACGCGUUAAGUAUGCCGCCUGGGAAGUACGAGCGCAAGCUUAAAACUCAAAGGAAUAGACGGGGAUCCGCACAAGUGGUGGAGCAUGUGGUUUAAUUCGAUGAUAAGCGAGGAACCUCACCCAAAUUUGACAUCUAGCUGCAGACCCC